UGGGGAAUAUUGCACAAUGGGCGCAAGCCUGAUGCAGCCAUGCCGCGUGUGUGAAGAAGGCCUUCGGGUUGUAAAGCACUUUCAGCGGGGAGGAAGGCGUUAAGGUUAAUAACCUUGGCGUUUGACGUUACCCGCAGAAGAAGCACCGGCUAACUCCGUGCCAGCAGCCGCGGUAAUACGGAGGGUGCAAGCGUUAAUCGGAAUUACUGGGCGUAAAGCGCACGCAGGCGGUCUGUCAAGUCGGAUGUGAAAUCCCCGGGCUCAACCUGGGAACUGCAUUCGAAACUGGCAGGCUAGAGUCUUGUAGAGGGGGGUAGAAUUCCAGGUGUAGCGGUGAAAAGCGUAGAGAUCUGGAGGAAUACCGGUGGCGAAGGCGGCCCCCUGGACAAAGACUGACGCUCAGGUGCGAAAGCGUGGGGAGCAAACAGG
rnacentral:rRNA from 1 species